rnacentral:sRNA from 1 species
UCAAAGUCCCUCUCCAUCUGCGGGAACAGC